UCGAGCGUGCAUGCUAUAAAGAAAACCCAACGCUGUCCGAUUUUCAACCAAGACUACAUACCCUCAAGCCUGGUGCUGUGCCGACUAUUUACGCCGCCAUGUGUCCUGCCAAUGCUUCUAAGGGAGGCAUUGGUCCUGCUCCAUUGCCCAAGCGUCUUCGACGACAGGUUCGUACUACUUGCAGCGGUGCGUACGCAUAAUGAUAGCGUCAUAUGUGAUGAUGCCUGAUAUUGCGCAGUCGUGCUCGGACACGGAGCUUGAACCUGCUGCCCCCCCAUCACGUGUCGAUCGACCUGAACGCUGACUGCGAGAUAAACGAGCCCGCAAAUGCAUCAGGUCAAGUAAAGCUGGAUGCACAAUCCCAGUGCUUCGUUGAAGUUUAUUCCAAGGCCACUCAGACGGCUCUGAAAGCUACAACAAAAUCUGCAAAGGUGCAGGCAAGCCGAACUGUCAAGGAAGUGGCAUGCCAGACUGAUUUGGAAUUGCCGGACAUCCUGUUGAUGGAGGAAAUGCGUCAGCGGUGUUCCACACCUUUAUGUUCAGAGCCAUCCAUGACCUAUGAAGGCAACACUCAUGACAAGACAUAUGAGCCUACAUUGAACAGCUCAGUGGCGUAAGUGACAUGACAUUUUGUUUUCUUGUUUGAGCAUGCAGUAAAAAGAGCUAUAAUGUCGGUGGCCUUGGUUUAUAUCUUUCAACAUAACGUCAUGUUUUCACUAUGCCACAACA